rnacentral:snRNA from 1 species
AUUGCUUCUCAGUCUUUGGGCUAAGGUCAAGUGUGGUAUCUGUUUUGUCAGUGUAAUUUCUGAUAUGUCCUCCAAUAAACUCUCUGGGGGUCAAAUGGGACUAGCA